rnacentral:lncRNA from 13 species
AGGUAAAGAUGAUGAAAGCACAGAGGAAUUAAUGAGACAUCAUCAGUCAAUCACAUCACUACAGGCGUCACUACCAGGAGACUAUUAGUCUGAAGCUCUGUUUAGCCUUCUGAACAGAACCACAGUAGCUUGUCAAUGAGCAACACCAACCCCCUAAGAAGCUAAUUCACACUCCUAUGGAGAGAGACAGUGAAAGGCUGAGGUGAGGGACAGCUUGUUAAGCAGCUGUGGACUCACUGGGCAGGGCCAAGUCAUGCAGCUGAUAGUGGAGCCUGUGAAAGGCUCAGCGCUCGACACACAGGCACCUCUGUGACCCCCUGGCCUGCAGCGCCCAGA